UAUAACUAGACCAGACUCUCUGACGAUGGAGACCAUCAGCGUAUUGUUUGCUCUGACUGUUGCCGGUGGAUUGGUAUCCCUUGCUGAGGCCCACGGACGCCUGAUCCUACCCCCCUCUAGAAGCUCCAUGUGGCGGUUCGGGUUCCCCACCCCUAAAAAUUACCAAGAUAUGCAGUUGUGGUGCGGCGGCUCAUGGAACCAGUGGGGUCUUAACGGAGGACGAUGUGGUGUGUGUGGAGACCCGUACCAACAGAAUCCCCGCGAGAACGAAGCUGGUGGGAAGUACGCCACCGGCAUCAUAUCCCGAUGCUACCGGUAUUUUCCCGCCGGACAGAUAAUUGCCGUACAGGUGGACCUCACGGUGAACCACUUUGGCUACUUUGAGUUCCGACUGUGUGAGCACAACGACACCUCCACCCCGAUAUCACAAGCCUGCCUGGACGCCAACCUCCUUCAGUUAGCGGACGGCAGCACGCGACAUUACGUGAGAGAGCGGGACUACGGGGUGAUGACGUUAAACCUCCGUAUACCACCCACAGUGGUGUGUACUCAGUGUGUACUGCAGUGGAAGUAUCAUACAGGUAUAACUUAAAAAGUAUAUUAAUGUUUAUAUCCAAAUAAGGACCAGUUUACAGAUAAAAUUCUAUAUACUGACGCUGCAAACAAUAUCUUAUUCGUGUACGAGAAAAAAUCGCCGUGAACCUGUUUUUCUGUAGUUUUUUUUUCAGACUUCGUCCCGACAAAAAUUCACUGCAAACAUGUAAAUCACGCGUUCUUCCCAAUUAAAGUCGAUGUCUGAGAGCAUCACCCCCCCUCCCAGUGUUCUAAAAACUGUUAUUUUGCACAUUUGAAUAAUAGAUUAUGGUUUGAUCUGUCAUUAUUACAUAUGUACUAAGUACGUCCCAUCCACAAUUAAAAGUUCAAGUGUGAUCUUAAGGUGCAAUAUUCAUCCUACUAUAAAGGUGUAAUUCUUUUAAAAAUUGCAAUACAACCAUACCAACCCUAUCACUGCGUCUUCAGAGGAAGCAAUGAACUCACCCUCCUUUUUACAGUUUAGUUAUCACUCUAUCGACAUAGUAUGAAUUAAUCUCACACUUGACUUUGUUAUUUUUAGGUAACAGUUGGGGUAGAGACAAGGGUGGGGAAGGCAUUGGUCACGGUCCCCAGGAGGAGUUCUACGGCUGUUCAGACAUCGCCAUCCUACCAAACUGUGAUGACGUCACAGGAAAAGCAGCCACUCCCCACUAAGACCCUUUCAUGGACGACAUAGUAUCUGUAUAUAUACUAUGAUCACUUUGUUGCUGGAAUUGGUUACAGGAUGGUCCCAAUGAACGCAAACCUUUGAGUGGAGUUUUACAGUAUGCGCAGACAUUUUUUAACAGAGGGAAAGACAGUGCAAGCAAAGUCAAGUUAUUUUGUCUUAUGUAUAUAUUGCAGUAUAUUUGUGCUUUUGCACUUUGAAUUAAUCAAUUUUGAAAGCUUUCUUCCUGUAUUUCAAUCUGCUUCAAUUGAUCUUUUUGAUAAUUAAUAGCCCUACGAGAAACUGCCUUUAUAAUUUUGUUCACAUAUGAUGAUUGUUGAAAGUUGAACUUCCUUGAACAAUUAAUCAAAGUUGAAAAUUGUCUACUUUUGUAUCGUGCAAUAGCUUUCAAUCACAUGCAAAUGAGAUACAAACUUAUUAUUUUCAGAAUAAAGUGAUUUUUUAAUUAUUUAUUCUAAUCUUUAAUAAAGCGAUCUGCAUCUUU
rnacentral:misc_RNA from 1 species